rnacentral:tRNA from 1 species
GCACUAGAAGCUCAGACGUUAGGAGCGCCAGCCUUGUAAGCUGGAGGUCGGGGGCUAGCCUCCCCCCUACUGCACU